UUUCAGAAGGGGAAUCACAUGACGGUCACGAUCACGAGUUGCCCAAAAUAUUUAAGGACGAACAGCUGGCUUUUCUUGUCGACCCUGUUCUACGCGAGGAAGACAUUAAUCGUGACGGAUUUAUCGACUACGCGGAGUUCAUUUCCGCAACCAUAAAGAAGCGCGUUGGCUCCGUCAACGGUGUCAAGUCGUCUUCAUAAUACGAUUUUGGCGCAAAUUUGUCACAAAUAUGUACUGUGUAAUGAGUGAACCGUAAAGGGCAUUUAAAAAUUUAGUUUACAAUUAGAUAUUUUUCUCUACAGAUUGAACUAUUGUUUUUUUAAGAGUUUUAUGUUUUUGUAGUUAAAAUUGGAAAUUGAGAUUUUAUGAUUAUUAAGAAUAUAAAUAUAAUUUGUGAUAACAGAAUAAAACUGAAAGAAACCUCUUUAAAUAAUAAUUUUUAAAUAUCUAACGUUAUAGCAGUAUUAUGAAUUAUCUAAUGAUAUUUUCAUUAAACAACCUGUGAAGUUUAGAGUAUGUUUGUUUAAACAACCUGUGAAGUUUAGAGUAUGUUUGUUUAAACAACCUGUGUAGUUUAGAGUAUGUUUGUUUAAAUCAAAUGCCUAUUCCUUGUCGCUAAGUGUAUAUGUGCCGUGCAAUAUUAUGAAAAAAGUAAUCAGGGGCGUAUACAGGAAUUUGCCCCCUGGUAGCAAUUCCUUGUUUCGCUCAGUUUAAAUAUU